CAAGUUAACCACCCACUGCGGAAAAAUAUGACCAAUUAAAAAGUUAUCAAGUAAGUUAGUCCAGAGCCACCCACUGCGGAAAAAUACAACCAAUCACAAGUUAUUAAGCAAAUUAGUCCAGAGCUACGUGACAAAGAUCACUCACACUUACGAGUUGGAAGCUGAGCCAGCCGGAUCGCGGCGCAGCGGUUGAGCCAGGAGACGGAGCGAGCCGUUUAGAAUUAGAUCUAACAAGUGAAUAUCGCAGAUCAGGAGCUAUUAGCCGCUUUUGUUAAAGCUGGAAAACUAAUACGCUAGUUUAGCCUUGUCAAUCUGCCGAGUGGAUUGGACUUCUGGAGUCAUCUCGAGCGCGCAACCGAGUUUUCGCCGCGGGUUGCCAGAUAAUCUGAAACUAAACGAUUCCGGAUCGGAUUUGGCCAGUUUUGAUUGGGAUACACUACUGAUAAGAACCUGCCGCCUGGUCACGAGAGCCCAGUCGAGUAGAAGACGCGAUGGCGAGCCUCAGCCCAAAGGAACUUCGUACCUGAGCAUUGAAUCUUGAGUAUCCCUUCUGUUUUUUUACGGUUGGACUUUUUUUUUUUUCUCCUCGUUCCAAGUGAGUUACACUGCGUUACCUGCAUAACGAACAGAAACUGAUAAACCGAUUCUUGGACGGACUGAAACACUUAAAGAACAGACUUUGCUUCGUCCAGUCACAUUUAAUGUGAAUUGAACUGAAUUGAUUUACAUCGUAAAUACUGUGGGUUUAAUUCUAGUAAGCUGAUACUGAAUUUUGCACUGUUUUGUUAUUUUAUUUUAUUAUUUGGGUGAAUUUGUGAAUUAUUGGGUUUUUAUAUUGUGUUGGGAGAAAAGGUAUCUUGGUGUGUGACAUUCCAGAAUUAUAACUACAGGUUCAAUACUCACCUCUUAACCAAUUGAAAUAGACAAGUGAAUACUUACCUUAAUCCUCUAAUCAAUAAUUAUACUUACCCUAAUGCCCUAAUUAAUAAUUAUACUUACCUUAAUAAUUAUACUUACCUUAAUUGUCAAACCAAAACCUAAAAGAAAGAUAACGAGAUAACCAUUAAUAAUAACUAAAUAAUACUAAACCUAAAAUAAUAGUAAUCCUUAAAGUACUAAAAUUAUUCCAGAGGACUGAGUUAUAAAAUAGGAAACCUUUAGAAUAUUAUAGACCUUGAGACAUACCACAAAAGGAAAACCAGCUAUAUUUUUGUGAAUAUAUUUUUUUAUAUACUGAUUGUUUACUUUGUUGUUUAUUUGAAAUCUUGCUUAUAUUUUUCUGUUUUAUUUUAUCUACUGUUUUAUUUACAUUUCUACAUCAGUUGCCUCUAUUCUAACAGUGUCAAUACAUUUACUGAAAAUUUCUAAAGUCAAAUUGUGUGUCUUUUUCCUUUCUGCUUCACAAGCGAACCUAGACUGGUCCAUCUUCUCUCUUUAUCCUUUGGGAUUAAAUUUAUACCUGCAGCCGACCCCCAGGGGGCGCUACACAAGCUGCACAGAGGCUGAUGUGCUGUGGUCAUCCUGCAUGGGUGGAUGUUGCAUUCAUGCUCUCACGUCGAGUUGAGAGAGGCUGAACCUAAGGACUUUACUUAAUUUUACAGAUCUGUUCUGGAGGCUUGGAGAGUUUUUUCAAUUUCUAGGCUGUCUGGGACACCCCCUGGGACCUUUGAGGAGCCUUUGUUUUUCAAUUCUUUCUUGUCAUCUCCUCUUUUUGUCCUCUGAAGGUCUGCGCUCACGCCUGGUGGCUGCAGGUUUUUUGAAGUUGGGCCACCUUGUUACUACUGCAGUGGAGACUGUGAUGGAGAGAGCUGGUAUCCGGUCGAGGCAUGUGUUAGAUCGGCUUGUGGCAGAAGUGCAAAGGUCAUUACCAACGGAUUACUGGACCUUUUUGACUGAUCCACCUCCUACAGCACUGUGGAAUGAUGGGCUCUCUUAUAUUCUUCCCUCGCUGGCUGUUGCUCCUUCUGUGGGAGAAUGGAUUGAGGACGAGGGACACUUGCUGUCUUUUGCCACCCCUACUCUGGGUGUUUUUACUACACUCGGACGUAGGUCAUUGUACCUAAUCUGUGACACACGCAAGAUUUUUGAGUGACGUUUCAUCUACAAGGUGGUUUGAGUAUUUUGGCACUGACUCCUCCCCCAAAGGCUGCUGGCGGACCCUGUACAAGCUUCCGAUCGAAAAGCGGACAGCUGACCUCCAAUGGAGGAUAGUACAUGGGGCGAUAGCCGCACCUCGAUCCGGCUGCUGUUGAAGGUUGUCCGUUCUGCUCUGAGAGUGAGACUAUUUUCCACCUGUUUGUGCAGUGCACUAGACUGAGACCCUUAUUUGAUCUUUUGGCUGGUUGGUUUUUAACAUUUGGUGACGAUUUUUCAUUUCAGCUGUUCAUAUUUGGGCCAAAAUAUACAGCAAAGAGAA